CUUAGAGUUUGAUCCUGGCUCAGGAUGAACGCUAGCUACAGGCUUAACACAUGCAAGUCGAGGGGAAACGACAUCGAAAGCUUGCUUUUGAUGGGCGUCGACCGGCGCACGGGUGAGUAACGCGUAUCCAACCUGCCCACCACUUGGGGAUAACCUUGCGAAAGUAAGACUAAUACCCAAUGACGUCUCUAGAAGACAUCUGAAGGAGAUUAAAGAUUUAUCGGUGAUGGAUGGGGAUGCGUCUGAUUAGCUUGUUGGCGGGGUAACGGCCCACCAAGGCGACGAUCAGUAGGGGUUCUGAGAGGAAGGUCCCCCACAUUGGAACUGAGACACGGUCCAAACUCCUACGGGAGGCAGCAGUGAGGAAUAUUGGUCAAUGGGCGAGAGCCUGAACCAGCCAAGUAGCGUGCAGGAUGACGGCCCUAUGGGUUGUAAACUGCUUUUAUAAGGGAAUAAAGUGAGUCUCGUGAGACUUUUUGCAUGUACCUUAUGAAUAAGGACCGGCUAAUUCCGUGCCAGCAGCCGCGGUAAUACGGAAGGUCCGGGCGUUAUCCGGAUUUAUUGGGUUUAAAGGGAGCGUAGGCCGGAGAUUAAGCGUGUUGUGAAAUGUAGAUGCUCAACAUCUGCACUGCAGCGCGAACUGGUUUCCUUGAGUACGCACAAAGUGGGCGGAAUUCGUGGUGUAGCGGUGAAAUGCUUAGAUAUCACGAAGAACUCCGAUUGCGAAGGCAGCUCACUGGAGCGCAACUGACGCUGAAGCUCGAAAGUGCGGGUAUCGAACAGGAUUAGAUACCCUGGUAGUCCGCACGGUAAACGAUGGAUGCCCGCUGUUGGUCUGAAUAGGUCAGCGGCCAAGCGAAAGCAUUAAGCAUCCCACCUGGGGAGUACGCCGGCAACGGUGAAACUCAAAGGAAUUGACGG
rnacentral:rRNA from 1 species